CCAGAGAAAGUAGCAAAAGUGACAGUCCCCUGCAGGCAGAACUUUGAACAGUACACUUAGGCUGGAAGAAAUGUCUUGAGACACUGCAAUAAAGAGUGUUGCUCCUUCUGACUCCUGACAGACCCUGGUGUUCCCCCAUGGGGCCCCCCAUGGCAUGCUGUGCCUCCUUCUUCUGGGAAAACUCAAAAGAAAUCCAAGACAAUAAGCUGGCACUUUGGGGAGUCUCUGAUCUUACCAUGCCCCCCCACACACACACUGCCUAAGGCAGCCAGCUUUAAAGAGUGCUGCAACAGCUUUAAGAGAGUUCAGAAAGAGAAUCAGGGGUCUAGACUUGGGGAGGACUCCUGGACCACACCUGGCAAGCCUCAUGAGAAGAAGAGUAAAGGAGGGGUUCCUUUGCCCUGCUACCAGUGCCUACACCAAAGAGGCCUUGUAGGAAUAAUAUGCAGGGUAAAGGGUGCCAAAUAUAAGCCUGGAGGAAAAAGAGAGAGAAAAGAGAAAUGUGAUUUUCAUUCAUCCUAUUUGAUGGAAAAUGUCUGUCUUCAAUGCCAAAAGCAGUUCUCCAAGCUACAGAAAAUGCUGCUGUGCGGCUUGAUCUAGUUUUAUGAAUGCCCUGAAGGCUUCUUCUGGUGGCUGGGAUGUGCUUAGGAGCCUCCAUCUCCUGUUACAGCUGCACACCCACCUUCCUUCAGUCUGUGAUUUGGCAACAUAAAAGAGCGCUUCGGGAUCACAGAAGCCAAAACUGGGAGUAAAAUGUGGGGGUGGGAAGUCAAGCUGAGCAGCCAUGACCCCAGAAAUUAAAGGUCAAACUCUCCUCUCCUGCUGCUAAUCCCCAGUGAUGCUCUACAAAGCCGCCUGAGGCUUCCUUCUCCAAAAAAACCUUAUCACUUAAAGUUCCGAAUUUCACUCCCUAUCACACUCGAUUCCAGCAUCCUGCAGCCAGAAUCAGCUCUUCAAAUUGUAAAUGCAAUCUUCCCGAGACAUAUAUCCCCACUCUGCCUUAACCCGCUUCUCAGUGCUCUUAAGAAGAAGAAAGAAAUAAUGACAGCAGCAUGACUAGCUGGGUAUCAGCUCUCACUGAUCCAAACCCAGGGCUGCAUGAGGUCAUUAAAUAAUUUGACUCUCAGCCCCAGUCCCCGAGUUCUCCCAGCCUUCGUUCUCUCCACCUUGCACCCAUCCCCUCUCAAAACCUUUGCCUCUGCUGUUCUCGCUUUCUGAAAUCAUUCUUUGCCCUUCUUUGCUGGUAAAUGCCUGUUUAGCCACCAGAUCCCAGCUCCAUCAUGACUUCUUCAUGGAAGACUUCCCUAACCUCCCCAACUAGGUCAAAUCUCCUACUACACAAUGUACAUAUGAUCAAAUGCUCUUUUAACUAUAAUUUGUGAUGCUUUGAUUGACAACAUCUCCCAACUGAACCAUGAGGGUCUUCAGAGCACAGAACGCAUCUGUUUUGAUCAACAAUGUGUUCUCUGCACCUACCAGAUAGAAGGCUCUCAAUGGAUAUUUUUAAGUGAAUGAACUGACAGAAUGUUAGAGCUGGAAGGGUUUAAUCCUUUCAUCUGACAGAUGAGGUCACCUCCAAAGGUCAAUUCAGGUGUAAGCUGACUGGGAAUGGAGCCGCCUUGGUCCCAGGCCCCUCAGGAGCCAACAUCUCCUGUAACAGCCCCACACACAGAGCUUCUAGGGUCCCUGAAGGAGACACCAGACUCAGGAAGCCCAAAACCAUAGCUUCUUCAUCAGGUUAUUUAGAGGUUGCACAGAGAACUUCAGUCCAGAUUCAAUGUACCAAGCAGGGGUCAGUUUUACCAUAAGCACUGUGGCCAGGUAACACCUUGACCUUCCAUAUUCACCAGGUUUUCAGGAAGAAAUAGAAAGUGAAUGGAACUGAGUCAGUUUCUGAUGCUGAAAGAGAAAGGGUGUUGUAACCUUGACUCACACGGGUCUUACACUAAGCACUAAGAGCUCUAAAGGUAUCACCUCAGUCCUCAGACUGCCCUGGUAAAAGGAACCACUUUUAAUGGGGCAGUUAGUCACUUGCUUGUCUAAGGUUGAGGGGCCAUAAGGAGUAAAGCAGGGGCUAGGACCCAGCCAGGUUGGCCUCCCCCAGGCCUGGCUUCUCACCACCACUGUCUACUUCUCUGGAGAGCAAGGCCAUCCUCUGGGAAGGCUGGAAUUGCACAUGGGGAGCAAGAGAAGCCAGCAAAGGGGCCUAAGAGUAGCCUGAAUGGAAGGGAAAACAGUAGGCCUGGGGGAGGGAGGAAAGGAAUUUAAAGUAAGAGAAAGAAGGCAACAGUGUCAAAGGUGCUGGACAGGCUGAGGAGGAUGCCUCCUGGAGGAGCCUGCUGGGUUCAGCCAUGAGCCAGCUUGGUGAGGGCGGUCCCUGCCCCACCCCCAAGCAUUCUCAGAUAUCAGGGAGUCCUACUUUCUCUCGGGAAGGGGGGGGGGCAUUCCUGACUUCUCACACCCCAUGCCCAAGAUUAGGUUUUUCUCACCAUCCCAUACCAUCAUGACUCCAGACAUUCCUCUUUUUUAACCCAUACCCACACCACCUGUCUCUCCUAUAAGACUAUACGUUUCCCAAAGCCAAGGAUGGCAUCUUUCUCAUUCAUAACCACUCCCCACUGGGCCUGGCACAUGCUCAAUAAAUACAGAGUCACUGUGUGAAGUUUCAGAGAGUGGCGAAGCAAAAGCCAGAGCCAUCCAGGGGACACUCAUGACCUUGGGACUGAGGUCUCAGCAUUCAGGGGGGACGCCAGACGGCACCAGGCUGAUUCAGCAAAGCCUCGGGCACAGUGCCACGGGUUCCGGAGAAAUAAACACACCGCUCCUUUGGCACAAAUUCCCCGGGUUAUUAGCCACGUCUGCCAGGAUGCUUUCCAGCCCCUGCCCUGAGGCAGCGUGUAAGCCACAGAAAAAAGAGAGGUGGAAAACGCAUCAGAACUCCAUGACUGGUUGAUUGAUUUGCUCCUCUGUGAACUCCAGCAAGUAGAGCAGCAAUACCAAUACCAUCUGAGUGGUCACAGAACUGGAUAAGCCUCAAGAGCACCCAGACAAGAGAAGGCAUACUCCAUCUGCUGGACUCCAGUGUAAAGUGGCUGUCAGUGUCCCCCUGCAUGCCACCCUGCCCCAUAUUUGACAGCACAGGGACAGCAAGACGAUUUGCUUUUCGGUCUCCCAAGGCUCACUAAUGGCUCCAGGCAAGGGAGCAAACUUAGCACUUCGUUGCUCAGGGAAAGGAGAAUGGGAUUAAAAUGGCAAGUCCUUCCCACUCUGUUCUGUAGAAAAGAAAUAACAAAUGAAGCACAUCCAAGCUGAAGGAUUUGGGUACUCAUGUUGAUUCAGACCAAGUCCCUUCUCCGGCGGCUCCACCCGCCUUCCUUUCCAGCCUGAUGGCCCACCCCUGACUGAGCCUCCGGAUCUCACAGCCAGCAGCUGUCCCCUAUAAGCCAUGCUCACUUGCUCACAAUCUGUGACUUCCUGCCCACAUUUUAGUGCGUGAUCUUUCCACAACGCCACAGCUCUUUUUCCUGAUAAAGUCCCACUAAUCCUUUAAGACCAUCUCAAAAAAGCCACUUCUGUGAAUCUUUGAUCACUUGUCCCUCAGAAUUUUCUUGGCACUCUAUUUACA